GGCCCCGUAGUUCAAGGGAUAGAAUAGAAGUUUCCUAAACUUUUGAUCCGCGUUCGAGUCGCGGCGGGGCUA
rnacentral:tRNA from 1 species